GUGUCUCUUCAACCACUGAAUCAUUCUCUCACUUAGCCAAGGACUCACCUUUAGUGCAUUACAGUGACUUAAAUGAACAAUCAAAAGUAGAAAAAGCUGCCAGGCGGUGGGAAAGGUUAGAACUUAUAGCAUUAUAAAUUUCUUUAAAUAGACUCUAAAGCGAACCUUUUGAAAUUUUAUGGCUAAAGAAUGAAGAUUACAUUCUUAUAAGUCUAUUAGUGUUCAAACGAAAAAUUAUUUGACUCAGUUGUGCUUGGUACAAGCCCUAAUAAUUUGCGUCAGCACUCAAAUUGCUGUCUGAUACCUGAUAUCUAGUUAUGUCAUGUAUCACUGUCUGAAGGAUAUAUGUUAAUUGGUUUUCUAUAUUUAUUUUUGUAUUGAUGAACGAGGCAUUUUUGUGUGUUAUUGCAACUGAAAGCCCAUAUGCAAUCAAUUGCUCAAAUUUGAAGUAAAAUACAACUGAUAUUAACUAAAAGAGCAUGCUUUGCAGAGCAUGUUUUUAAGUUAGAUUUUAUCAGUUCAUCAUUUUUGUUAUGGUGCAUUUCAAUGGGCUUUGUAUAUCGAGUUCAUUAUAUGAUUAUUACUGUAAAUUGACCUUGAACUCUAUCGCUGUAGUUGCAGACGUUUUACUGGUUCUGUUGUUUUAUUGGUUUUUCCUUUCUGGAAGAAUUUUUACCUCUUCUGCAGCCAACCUUCUAUUGUUGGUCUCAAUUACUCUUUUUGGAUAUGGCUUUUUACCAUCAAACAUGUAAGUACAAAUCUUUUUCUUUUCCCUGGUUUUAUCAGUCUUCCAACAGUCAGCCAUUUUUUCACUCUUGUUGAAAGCUCGUUAUUUACUUUCUAAAAUUCUUUGAAGCAGUGCAUCUGGGAUGCUCUACUUCUUCUUUUCUUGAUUUGUUCAGGAAUUUCUUAGUUUAUGGUCCGGAAUCUGGAGUGCUGUAGCAUUAAAAUUUAUGUUUAUAUGAUUUUUAUUGGAGAUGCAAGCUUUUGCCGUCACUAUCCUCUUGCUUUUAUCAAUUUAUGUUGUUAUAUCAUCAAGUUGAUUGUUUGAAAGAUUUUUCAGGUCUACUGACCAUUUGAUAUGCUUUCUCUACAGAUUUGGUCUCAAAGUUCCAAGCAUACCUUUGUCUAGUUUUGAUAUGAUUCCUCUGGAUCAUAAUAAAUACAAUUACUAGUUAAUUAUAAGUUAUUUUCUCCCUUGUUAUUCUUACAAUUGUUGUAAUAAAUAUCUGUUAUUUGAUGGGUGUAGAUCCAACAUCAACAUUAUGUUGUUGUGCUUUAUCUCCUUUGCUCUAUGCUCGAUAUUUACUUUGUCAAAUUUUGGGUUUACACUGUUUUGAAAUCGAUUCAGGUUGUACUUGCAUUUUAUCUUCUCAAGCUGAUUCUUUUGCAAUCAUCCUUAACUGCCGUGAUAGCCGUAGCUCUAGUCUUCUCCUUGAUUGCACUCUUUGUUUACGAGCAAUACGAAUGUGAACUGGAUGGACUAGUGAAGCUCCUUCUUAAUUGUAAAAAGAAAUCGAAAACAUUGUUGAUACACUAUCUACCAGCUCCCGUCGCAUCAUUUCUUUGUAACUACAGGAUUAAGGAUAUUGCAUGAACUCAACACUCAUACAGUGGUUAAAGAUUGGCAAUGACUCCAUGACUCAUAUUUUUCUUGAAUGAGUUUUAAACUGCUUAUACAUGAUCUGGUAGCUUAAUGAGGCUUUGUCUUAAAACAGUAGAGAUGAUUUUGUCCCCUGAAAAAGAAUAUAGAUGGGGUAUAUAUUCAUAUAGUGCAAAUUCUAAUUGUCAAUGAUGUUCAAUCUUUUAAUUGAACAUUAGAUGUCCAGUGUCUUUAAUUGUCUCGAUUACUUGAAAGUCGAAACAUUGAAUCUCAUCUCAUCAGCUUAGCCAAAAGUCUGAAGCAGAACAAAGAUUGAAGGUAUCUUUUCAUUGACCAUUAUAUAUAUUUGUACUGAAUUUGUUAUUGUAAGUUAUUUAGAAGAUGAUCAAGGAUAUGUGAACUCCAAGUAUUCCAACA